rnacentral:rRNA from 1 species
UAACGAAUCUUCCGCAAUGGGCGCAAGCCUGACGGAGCAAUGCCGCGUGUGGGAUGAAGCGUCUCUGACGUGUAAACCACUGUCAGGGGUUAGAAACAAUGAUCAACCCCAAAGGAAGUGGCGACUAACUCUGUGCCAGCAGUCGCGGUAAUACAGAGGCCACAAGCGUUAGUCGGAAUCACUGGGCUUAAAGGGUGCGUAGGCUGGUCCGCAAGCGUCUUGUGAAAGCCCUCGGCUCAACCGAGGAACAGCAGGGCGAACUGCGGAUCUUGAGGCAGGUAGGGGUCGCGAGAACAGUAGGUGGAGCGGUGAAAUGCGUAGAUACCUACUGGAAUGCCGAUGGUGAAGACGCGCGACUGGGCCUGUCCUGACGCUGAGGCACGAAAGCGUGGGGAGCGAAACAGGAUUAGAUACCCAUGUAGUCCCUGAGCGGGCUGGCAAGGCGCAU